UUAUCUCGGACUAAAAAUAAAAACAUUAUCGCGAUUGUUUAAUAAAUUGUUCUGUCUUCCAACACCAAUAGCAGUAGGAGCAGUAGAAUGUAUACCACCAUCUAACGGUCUGAAUACGAACUAUGGAACUAUCUCGUAGGUUAUUUUUACCGGAAUUGAAACCCACAAUUAAACUGUAAGGUAGGGUUUUCCUUAAUAAGUAGGGUCUGUAUAUGCGGAGGCAAGACUUGUACAAGGUCCAGCACGUGUUCCUAACAGUUGUGAACAUUUUAAUUUGGGAGUCUAUGAUGCUGAUGAAGAUGGAUGCAUGAUGUGGUCACAGGAUGUUAGUGGAAGUGGUCCAGAAGCUUGCUUACUGCAUCAGAGGUCAUCUAGGGCAGUGUAUUGAUGUGUCAUCUGAUGGGACCGGGAGCUGUGAACUUCCAUCAGGCUAUCUUGUACCUUCUGCAUAUGGAAUGAAAGUGCAGAUACCUGUUGAAUCACCCUCAUAUGUUUCAGAAAGCUAGUACAAACAAGUGAAAACAGCAAAGUAAAUGUUCUAAAUGUCCACCUCCUACCUGAAAGAGGCCUCUGCUCAGUGUCUCACUGCCACCCUAAGAUGAUCCAAAAGUCCUGGCAUAUUGCAUAUUGUCUGAAACCCACUACAGUUUGAUUUUGGAGAGGUUCCACGUCAUCCACUGGAGUGGAAUACACCAAGGAUUUUAAGUGGCCCCACAAGUAGAAAUCCAAUGGAUUUAAAUAGGGUGAGGACUAAGGCCAGGCAAUUGGUCCACCUCUACCUAUCCAUCGACCAGGAUACUUUCAAGUCAGUGGGGGAGAUAUCGACCAACACACAUUAUCAGAAAAACAGAAGGAUGUGAAAAAAGGAAAUAAUUGUUCAUCUGAUGUCAUGCCCAUCCUCAUAAAAAUCCUCUAAAGACAGUCGGCCUUGUAUGGAGAAUUUGUGCCAGUGGCUGCACCUGAUACAAAGUUGUGUGGUAGGCAAUGCGAGAGACAGACGAAGAUCUUUUAACCAUGUUAAGAGAUUAUAAAUUAUAAUAGCAGGUUGGUGGAGAGCAAUGGGUGAAGCGGAGACCAAAUCUGUGACAUCUACAUUUCAAAUAUCUGUGCUAUGGAUGGCUGUACCGAAGUGCUUAUGGAAACAAAAGGUGGAAUACAAAGUACACAUGGGAGGGCACUCAAGGCUGGAUACUCAUCAUGUGUGGUUUGUCUUUUGGUUAUGUUGCUGUAUAUUUCAUGCUUGCCUGAAAUGCAAAUUGAACUAUGACAGAUGUAUGGUAGAAGACAAUAUGUAGUGUGGAGUCUAGAAUUGAGCACAACCACACUGUGUGUGUCAGUAUUAAUAAUGCCUGUAAUAUAUCAUUGUUGUGCACUACAGUAAACACACAGUAUUUCAGCAUUUUUUAUGGAAGUGUAAUUGAUCAAGUUGUUCAAUGGCACUUUAAAUAUUAAAAAUGAUUAAGUUCUGUUGAA